UACAGAGGAGCCAAGCGUUGUCCGGAUUGACUGGGCGUAAAGCGCACGCAGGCGGUCGCGCGCGUGGGGUGUGAAAUCUGGCCGCUUAACGGCCAGGCGCCAUCCCAUACGGCACGACUGGAGUGAUGCAGAGGUCGAUGGAAUUGCCGGUGUAGUGGUGAAAUGCGUAGAGAUCGGCAGGAACACCCAGGGGGAAACCAGUCGACUGGGCAUCUACUGACGCUGAGGUGCGAGAGCGCGGGGAGCGAACCGG
rnacentral:rRNA from 1 species